CCACACCAGGGAAAUAUAACAAAGUAGUAUCUUUAUCUAUUUUAUACAUACAAUAACUUUACAAAUCUAUUUCAUACAUUCUCUAAUAUUGCAACAUGGACUUCACAUUAUAUAAACUAAAAAGAAAAACUAUAACAACAAAUUAGAAUGCAUACAUCACACAUUGGAGAACUCGAACUUUGUAUAUAAGUGUACUUUAUCUUUGAAUAAGGAGGGCGGUUCCAACCAACCCCAACCAUAUUGUAAAGCCAACCCAAAAUGCUCGACUUUUCCCUAACCCAACGGGAGGUUUCCAUACAAGAA
rnacentral:lncRNA from 1 species